rnacentral:rRNA from 1 species
AUUGAACGCUGGCGGCAGGCUUAACACAUGCAAGUCGAGCGGGGUGAUGGUGCUUGCACUAUCACUUAGCGGCGGACGGGUGAGUAAUGCUUAGGAAUCUGCCUAUUAGUGGGGGACAACAUCUCGAAAGGGAUGCUAAUACCGCAUACGUCCUACGGGAGAAAGCAGGGGAUCACUUGUGACCUUGCGCUAAUAGAUGAGCCUAAGUCGGAUUGGCUAGUUGGUGGCGUAAAGGCCUACCAAGGCGACGAUCUGUAGCGGGUCUGAGAGGAUGAUCCGCCACACGAGGACUGAGACACGGCCCAGACUCCUACGGGGGGCAGCAGUGGGGAAUAUUGGACGAUGGGGGGAACCCUGAUCCAGCCAUGCCGCGUGUGUGAAGAAGGCCUUAUGGUUGUAAAGCACUUUAAGCGAGGAGGAGGCUCUUUUGGUUAAUACCCAAGAUGAGUGGACGUUACUCGCAGAAUAAGCACCGGCUAACUCUGUGCCAGCAGCCGCCGUAA